rnacentral:rRNA from 1 species
AGCAGCCGCGGUAAUUCCAGCUCCAAUAGCGUAUAUUAAAGUUGUUGCAGUUAAAAAGCUCGUAGUUGAAUUUCGGGAUCAAGGGAUCGGUCAUGCCUUGGUAUGUACUGGUCUUAUUGGUUCUCACCUUCUAAAGAACCAUGAUGUCAUUCAUUUGAUGUUAUGGGGAAUUAGGACUGUUACCUUGAAAAAUUAGAGUGUUUAAAGCAAGCUUACGCUUGAAUACAUUAGCAUGGAAUAAUGAAAUAGGACAUCAGAUUCUAUUUUGUUGGUUUCUAGGAUCGAUGUAAUGAUUAAUAGGGAUAGUUGGGGGCAUUAGUAUUCAAUUGUCAGAGGUGAAAUUCUUGGAUUUAUUGAAGACUAACUACUGCGAAAGCAUUUGCCAAGGAUGUUUUCAUUAAUCAAGAACGAAAGUUAGGGGAUCGAAGACGAUCAGAUACCGUCGUAGUCUUAACCAUAAACUAU